rnacentral:sRNA from 1 species
AAUGUUUGGUUUGUAAUAUUCAGAUUUGAAGUGUUUGGUUAUGUUUUUAUAUAUAAUAUCGACCAAAUUAAAGUGUCAACGUAUAAGAAAACAUAUAAACAUACCAAAACUUAAAAAUUUCGAAAUUCAAAACUCGAGCGUUGGUAAUAAGUAGCUAAUUGGUUGCAAAGUGCGACUGUGUUCUGUUGUCGUCGCAAAAACGUUGCACCUAGCGACUGUUUUGUGACAUUUUUGAAAUAUUUUACAAAUAAAAAUGCUCGUUAGUCCCUAUUCGGU